UUAACGCCCGCGACAGUGGCCCGGACGCCACCUGAACGUGACUCUGCCAGCCAAGAUAUCAACCUGAAUUCUCCUAACAAAGGUCUGCUCUGACUCCAUGACCGAUGUCCCUGUCGACACAGGUGUGGCUGCCCGGACUCCUGCUGUUGAGGGUGAGGGUCUGACAGAGGCUGAGGAGGAACUCAGGGCUGAGCUGACCAAGGAGGGAGAGGAAAUUGUCACUCUACACCAGGUCCUGGCAGCCAAGGAGACGCACUGCGGAGAGCUCAACAGGCUGGGCCUCUCCACCCUGUGGGGUUGAAACAGAAGCUGUCCAGGAGCUGCCAUGAUGUGCAGGUCUCUAACAGCUAUAGGCAGACUCAGGAAACUCUUUCACAGGCAGGACAGAAGGCUUCAGCUGCCCUGUCGACAAUGGGCUCUGCCAUCAGCAGGAAGCUUGGAGACAAUGAGGAACUCUGCAACCUUCAAGUUGUUUGAGGACCGAGUUGGGACCAUAAAGUGUAUGGCUGUGGGCCGGCUGCGACAGAACGGCAGUGACAACCUCCCUUCCUCAGUGGGGAAUGGUGACAAGCCCCUGUCGGAUCUCACACUUUUUUAAGCCCGAGGUUGCUUCACCCACCGCAGAGCACACGCAGCACACCCUCAGCAUCACAGCCUGCGCAGCGGAGCAGCCAGCCAGGCAGAUGAGCAGAGCCGGCCUGGACCACAGUCCUGCCCAUCCACACGGAGAUGCGGCUGCUGCGUUCGCAGGAAUUAGAGAACACAGUCUUGUACACAGAUGUUUUACACUAAAGUUUGUAGAUGAACCAGAUCACUGUGCCGUCCUUCCUAGGGGUUCAGGAAGGGGACAGGGCAGAGGAUUUGAGAGAAUUGAGCCAAUGCCCAGGCUCCCUUUGGGAAUCUUGUUAGCCCAUUCAGAAUGUUGAAGGAUUGAAGAGUCCUAAGCAUAAAAGAAAUGGCAUUUUCUGAGCUCUUCCUCCUCCUCCUUCCCUGACUCACAGAAGGAAUGCAAUCAACCAGCAAGUCCUACCUGUUCCACUAUUUUUUAACCCCAAAAUGCUGAACGAGAAAACUGCUCAUGUUCUGAGACCCACCAGAAAGGAAACUGAUCAGCAGCAGCUGCCUAAUUGUGCCGCUAAUCUAGCUUUAGCGGACGCAAAUUCAUUAUUUUUUAAAUGCAGUGGACUUUCCAAAAAUGAAAAUUAGGCA